rnacentral:rRNA from 1 species
GCGUGCCUAAUACAUGCAAGUCGAGCGAGCUGAAUUCAAAGAUCCCUUCGGGGUGAUUUGUUGGACGCUAGCGGCGGAUGGGUGAGUAACACGUGGGCAAUCUGCCCUAAAGACUGGGAUACCACUUGGAAACAGGUGCUAAUACCGGAUAACAACAUGAAUCGCAUGAUUCAAGUUUGAAAGGCGGCGUAAGCUGUCACUUUAGGAUGAGCCCGCGGCGCAUUAGCUAGUUGGUGGGGUAAAGGCCUACCAAGGCAAUGAUGCGUAGCCGAGUUGAGAGACUGAUCGGCCACAUUGGGACUGAGACACGGCCCAAACUCCUACGGGAGGCAGCAGUAGGGAAUCUUCCACAAUGGACGCAAGUCUGAUGGAGCAACGCCGCGUGAGUGAAGAAGGUUUUCGGAUCGUAAAGCUCUGUUGUUGGUGAAGAAGGAUAGAGGCAGUAACUGGUCUUUAUUUGACGGUAAUCAACCAGAAAGUCACGGCUAACUACGUGCCAGCAGCCGCGGUAAUACGUAGGUGGCAAGCGUUGUCCGGAUUUAUUGGGCGUAAAGCGAGCGCAGGCGGAAUGAUAAGUCUGAUGUGAAAGCCCACGGCUCAACCGUGGAACUGCAUCGGAAACUGUCAUUCUUGAGUGCAGAAGAGGAGAGUGGAAUUCCAUGUGUAGCGGUGGAAUGCGUAGAUAUAUGGAAGAACACCAGUGGCGAAGGCGGCUCUCUGGUCUGCAACUGACGCUGAGGCUCGAAAGCAUGGGUAGCGAACAGGAUUAGAUACCCUGGUAGUCCAUGCCGUAAACGAUGAGCGCUAGGUGUUGGGGACUUUCCGGUCCUCAGUGCCGCAGCAAACGCAUUAAGCGCUCCGCCUGGGGAGUACGACCGCAAGGUUGAAACUCAAAGGAAUUGACGGGGGCCCGCACAAGCGGUGGAGCAUGUGGUUUAAUUCGAAGCAACGCGAAGAACCUUACCAGGUCUUGACAUCCUGUGCUACACCUAGAGAUAGGUGGUUCCCUUCGGGGACGCAGAGACAGGUGGUGCAUGGCUGUCGUCAGCUCGUGUCGUGAGAUGUUGGGUUAAGUCCCGCAACGAGCGCAACCCUUGUCUU